AUUGCCCUCGAAUAACUGGAAGGUGGUCUUUUUUUAAACCCACAUUUGGUUCAGACAGGGGCAUAUAUCAUCUCGAAGCGGUUUGAGGGGAAGGAAUAGUUUGUUAUCCUUUUCCUAGGAUCUUUUUUAUAAGAUCAGCUUCAAACAUUG